UACGUAGGGUGCGAGCGUUAAUCGGAAUUACUGGGCGUAAAGCGUGCGCAGGCGGUGAUGUAAGUCAGAUGUGAAAUCCCCGGGCUUAACCUGGGAACUGCAUUUGUGACUGCAUCGCUGGAGUGCGGGAGAGGGGGAUGGAAUUCCGCGUGUAGCAGUGAAAUGCGUAGAUAUGCGGAGGAACACCGAUGGCGAAGGCAAUCCCCUGGGCCUGCACUGACGCUCAGGCACGAAAGCGUGGGGAGCAAACAGG
rnacentral:rRNA from 1 species